rnacentral:tRNA from 1 species
UUGAUUCGCCCCAGAUGGUAGAGUAUCUGCCUUUUAAGCAGAGAGUAGCGCGUUCAAAUCGUGCACAGCCCA